UCCAGCCUGGAGGGCUUGCUGCUCUCUGGGCAGCCCUGCCAUGUGCUUGCUGUUCCUGAGGCCUCAGCUGGGCUAGCUGAGGGGCCUGGAUUCUGAAGUUACAGAGAGCUGACUAAGGGGCUGUCUUCUGAAGAUCUAGCCUUGGGUCACAGGAGAAAGGUGUUGCAUGGAUGUUGGAAGGAGGCAACCGUCAACAGUCCUAGGACAUUUGAAAUAUACUUCUACGAAAACCACCUUAGGUUUCCAUGGAGCUUGACCACCCGUUCUGAUAUAAGCCACACAGAACACAACGCAGUUAAAUAACAUAACACAUGCAAUAAAAAAAAAA